GCGGACAGCAGGAGCUACGGCCCGGCUGGUCAUAUGACUUCUGACGUCACCGCCCCGCCCGGGGGCUGGCACGUGACCCGCCGGCAGGGCGAAGAAGAGACCCCGGCGAUGGGGGAGGAAGAGAAUAAGUUUCUUGCCACCAAGUAUAAAGACAGUCUAAGUACAUUUAUUCUCACCAUGUGUUACCAAAAGCAGAAGUUACUCAGCUUUGAAAAGGAUGCAACCAUCAGCUCCGGUCAAGUGUCUGAAUGAGUCAUCUGCAGAGGAGCUGAGGUUAAUGGAGAGCUGCUGGCUACUCAACACCGUUACAGUUCCAGAUUAACCGUGGUACAUCUCUGGCACUGAAGAGCCAUGGAUGUAUAAUGGCUGCACAUGGGAAAGAGCAUGGGAAAUACCCUGAGAUACAGGAGACGAGUUACACAGCACAUGCUGUUCUGCAAAGUUAAGGCAGAAUACCAGCAUGCAAGACAGCAUAAAGAUUGAGAAUUUUUACCAGGAAGCAAUUCAAUUGAAGCAUGCCUCCGUUUUUCCAUUAGUCUUUUGCUGCCUGUCACCUGACCACAGAGUUAUUUUCUGUCCAAAGAGACAUGCUAGGAACAGAUAACUAAUAUUAGAGUCCACUCUCCCUAACACAACUGUCAAAGCUUGUAAAUACACAGAUAAGUCUAUAUGCAUAACGAAUUGAUGCGCUAAAAAAAAAAAAAAAUUGCCUGAAAGGUGUAUAAUUUUUUUCAAACGUAGCGCCAAAAAAGAAAGGUUUUGAAGAACAAACAAAGAAUUUGAAGCAGGACAAAGGAAUUAGAUGGUAAACCCAGGUUCAAAUAAAGGACUGCAAUGGCAGCUAAAAUACAAAACUAGAAAAAGCAAGACACAGGCAGUGGGCAGAAAGGAGACUGUUGGUGGUUGGUAAGGAAAGCUUAAGUUGCAGGACUAGGGAAGGCUCCUACAACGUUCAGCCACCAACCUGCAUGCUCACAGUCAGUCAGAUUCCCUCCAGCAGCUUUAGUUAGAUGACUGGGCAUCACAUUUAGGAUUUUUUUUUUUUUUAAUAGAUGAAGCACAUGUGUCUGAGUAAAUUAAACCAAAAAGGUAGUAGCUUUUGCUAAGAUUCAGGAGAGUCCCACACCUGUAUCCCAGACUUGUCCUGUUUUUUUUUUGUCCUUCCAUAGAAGUUGCCACACAAUCUGUUGCAAGGAUGUUGCAUUUACCAAGAUUCAGGCACUUUUCAAGACUCUCGUGGACGCACUGCAGAGGAAAUUAUUACUUUGCCGCACCCUGAUACCUUCAGCACUAGGUGAUCUUCCAGAAAAACAUUUCUAGGUGCCUUUGACUUGUAAGCACAAUACACCCAGGAAUGUAGUGAACCAAAUAGCCAGCAUCAAACCAACAACUGAUUGGGACAGGAUGCUCAGCCAGAUUCUAUCACCAGCUAUCAAAAAGCAAUCAAAUACAGCUAUUUCACUAUGAAAUAGCUAUUACCAUGCUGACUGAUAAACUAAGUAAUAAUGUACUACUACUAAACUGCUUGCUUACCUAUUUGUUUAGCACAUACAAAAUCCUAGGAGGAGGAAUAUGAGGAAACCAGAUUAAAAAUGAGGGUCUGAGAAAGAGAGUCACAUGAUGACAUGGCCCAUGGCUUCUGAACCUCUGAGGCCACUUUCAGACCAAUUUGGAGAAGUAAAAAGUCUUCAGAGAUGGUUCCAUUCUCUGUUAAGUUUGGGGGUGAGGCGGUGGGUGGAAAUCAGCAGGUGGAUAAAGGAGAACCAAACCCCUGCUCCCACUAACAGAAAGGCAGAACCAAUGAGGAAAAACUCUUCGCAACACUGCUUCUUGAGGUUAUUGCAGUUGUGGGGCAGGGAGCAAGAGAGGGGAAAUACAGCAUAGGACAACAGACAUACACAUCAUACAAAGACAGGCUUCAU